UACGUAGGGUGCGAGCGUUAAUCGGAAUUACUGGGCGUAAAGCGUGCGCAGGCGGUUUUGUAAGCCGGAUGUGAAAUCCCCGGGCUUAACCUGGGAAUGGCAUUCGGGACUGCAAGGCUGGAAUGCGGCAGAGGAGACGUGGAAUUCCUGGUGUAGCAGUGAAAUGCGUAGAUAUCAGGAGGAACACCGAUGGCGAAGGCAGGUCUCUGGGCUGACACUGACGCUCAUGCAC
rnacentral:rRNA from 1 species